UCCAUUUUGUUGAGCCUCCUGAUAG
rnacentral:piRNA from 1 species